AGUGAACGCUGGCGGUAGGCCUAACACAUGCAAGUCGAACGGCAGCACAGUAAGAGCUUGCUCUUACGGGUGGCGAGUGGCGGACGGGUGAGGAAUACAUCGGAAUCUACUUUUUCGUGGGGGAUAACGUAGGGAAACUUACGCUAAUACCGCAUACGACCUACGGGUGAAAGCAGGGGAUCUUCGGACCUUGCGCGAUUGAAUGAGUCGAUGUCGGAUUAGCUAGUUGGCGGGGUAAAGGCCCACCAAGGCGACGAUCCGUAGCUGGUCUGAGAGGAUGAUCAGCCACACUGGAACUGAGACACGGUCCAGACUCCUAUGGGAGGCAGCAGUGGGGAAUAUUGGACAAUGGGCGCAAGCCUGAUCCAGCCAUACCGCGUGGGUGAAGAAGGCCUUCGGGUUGUAAAGCCCUUUUGUUGGGAAAGAAAAGCAGCAGGUUAAUACCCCGCUGUUCUGACGGUACCCAAAGAAUAAGCACCGGCUAACUUCGUG
rnacentral:rRNA from 1 species